rnacentral:rRNA from 1 species
GCCAGACUCCUACGGGAGGCAGCAGUGGGGAAUCUUCCGCAAUGGGCGAAAGCCUGACGGAGCAACGCCGCGUGAUCGAAUGAAGGCCUUCGGGUUGUAAAGAUCUGUUGACAGGGACGAAUAAGCAAUGCGAAUAGUUUUGUGUAUGACGGUACCUGUUUAGAAAGCUCCGGCUAACUACGUGCCAGCAGCCGCGGUAAUACGUAGGGAGCAAGCGUUGUCCGGAAUUACUGGGUGUAAAGGGAGCGUAGACGGCCAGACAAGGCUGAAGUGAAAAUCCAGCGCGUAACGUUGGAAGUGCUUUGGAAACUGCCGGGCUAGAGUGCAGGAGGGGCAGGCGGAAUUCCUAGUGUAGCGGUGAAAUGCGUAGAUAUUAGGAGGAACACCAGUGGCGAAGGCGGCCUGCUGGACUGCAACUGACGUUGAGGCUCGAAGGCGUGGGGAGCAAACAGGAUUAGAUACCCCUGUAAUA